CUUGGCGACGAUAGCGAGCUGGAACCACCCGAUCCCAUCCCGAACUCGGUCGUGAAACGGCUCUGCGCCGAUGAUAGUGUGGGAGUUCCCAUGCGAAAGUAGGUCAUUGCCAAGC
rnacentral:rRNA from 3 species